UGAGCUACACACGGACAAACAAAAUAAAAAAGUCAUCUCGGUGCACAAGAUAGUCGAUAGAGUGAGCAGAACAAGACAGGGCAACCUUGAGCAGGUGUAAAGGACAGUUUGAAGAAGGACACAGGCUCCUGUGUGUGACCUAUCGUCUGUGGCCCCGGGAGAGCGGCUCUGCUUUGGCCCAAUGCAGAGAUCAUCUAUCAGUUGCUGUCACAUGAGGACGUGUGUCUGUCUGUUCUGCACCAAUUCUCUGAUCCAGCAUCAGUCUGCUGAAGGCCUCAAGCAUUCAUCACCCUGAAACCCAGCAGGCCUUUCACACUGUCCCACUCCUCUGAUUCUGCCUCUUCUCC